CCUACGGGAGGCUGCAGUGGGGAAUAUUGGACAAUGGGCGGAAGCCUGAUCCAGCAACGCCGCGUGAGGGAUGACGGCCUUCGGGUUGUAAACCUCUUUCAGCGCCGACGAAGCGAGAGUGACGGUAGGCGCAGAAGAAGCACCGGCCAACUACGUGCCAGCAGCCGCGGUAAUACGUAGGGUGCGAGCGUUGUCCGGAAUUAUUGGGCGUAAAGGGCUCGUAGGCGGUUUGUCACGUCGGGAGUGAAAACUCGGGGCUUAACCCCGAGCCUGCUUCCGAUACGGGCUGACUAGAGGUAUGCAGGGGAGAACGGAAUUCCUGGUGUAGCGGUGAAAUGCGCAGAUAUCAGGAGGAACACCGGUGGCGAAGGCGGUUCUCUGGGCAUUACCUGACGCUGAGGAGCGAAAGUGUGGGGAGCGAACAGGAUUAGAUACCCUAG
rnacentral:rRNA from 1 species